rnacentral:RNase_P_RNA from 1 species
CGAGUCGGUUGGACGGCUGCGGCUCGGAGGACUGACGGAGCGAUUCCGUCAAGCUUCGGGCCGAGGAAAGUCCGGACUCCACAGAGCAGGGCGGUUGCUAACGGCAACCCGAGGUGACUCGCGGGACAGUGCCACAGAAAAUAGACCGCCUGCAUCGGUUUUCUUCGGAAAGCCUGCAGGUCAGGGUGAAACGGUGCGGUAAGAGCGCACCAGCACCCCAGGUGACUGGGGUGGCUAGGUAAACCCCGCCCGGAGCAAGGUCGAAGGUGGGACUCCGCCGGUUCCUUCGAGAGCUGGGGGAGUCCGACUGCGCAGGUGUUCGAGGGCUGCUCGCCCGAGCCUGCGGGUGGACUGCUCGAGGUACCCGGCAACGGUGUGCCCAGAUGGAUGGUCGUCGUUCUGCACCCGCUUCGGCGGAUGCAGAUCACAGGAUCCGGCUUACAUGCCGACUCGUUCG